CCGAACCACCGCGGCUGGCGUGGACAACGACGAUAUCCAUGAACUGAGCUUCGGUUGCCGGAAAAAGUGCAACUUCUUUAAUUGUUGCGCCUGUUGUAUUACAACUGACUGGUGCUACACAAGUUUCGAGAGGUGCGAUAGAAACUGCCUGGGUCCCUUCUCGCAUUCUGAUGAAAUGCUAGCCGCGGCGACGGUGACCCCCGAAAGUGUGCCGACUAGGUCUGCAGUACGCACAGAUGGCUUGAUGAGAGACGUCAUCCCAGAAGAGUUCGGCAAUUGUCAUGUGUAGUAUAGCAUCGUUGCGGUGAACCCCUGCUCCUUUACCCGCCUAGCCGAAUUUAUUUGUCCCUUAAGGCAUAUGUAAUGCGUGAUGUGUGGAGAAAUAAAGUUUGCAAUACCCUAAAUAGCUGUUGCAGUUUUAUUUGUCAUAUUUUGUUUGAACUUUUUUAUUUCCAAUUAUUUCUGGCUAAGUUUUAUCGUACAACAAGUAAAGUGAGGCCUAAAACAAGUGUCUGUUUUCCCACAUACAUAAAUACAUACAUACAUACAUACAUACAUACAUACAUACAUACAUGUGGAGCGUGUACGAAUCUGGCGACUGGCUGCCGUGAUGAGUGCCAUGAAACAAGAUCUCUAAGAAAUGCUUCUGAUUCGGACCAAAAACAUAUCUCUGGUUUUACGAAAGAAUAAUAUGCAGGAACUCCCACACUGAUUAAUCAUUUGUCCCUUCGAUCCAAUAUUAGUUGUCGCUGAUUUGAGUUAGUACGGUGGUAUUAGCUGGUAUAGAAAAUGUUGGUGGAAGUAGCGGCAAACAUAAUAAGCAAGAAACGGACGGAAGAUUGUCAUAUGUUGAGUACCAACAAAAGAAUAGACGACUGCCUUUGAAAUGAAUGAAAAAACAACAGAAGAGAAUGGGAACGCACUUGAAAUCUUUCUGCAAUUCAGAUCUGAGUACAGUACAGGGACUAGUAAGCACCAAACAUUUUCAGAUCUGAGUCCAGUACAGGGACUAGUAGUAUGUUUCUGGAGGGAUUUGAUUCAGAUAUAGGGGCACUGACACCAGAUUUCGUUCCACCAUUUCAAUGAACAAACAGCGUGCUUCUUCUCCAAGAACUGAAACAUCAGUGCUUUGCCUUCGGAGAGGUCCUCCUCCUUGCCGCCGGCGCCUCGGCUGCCUUGCUCUUCUGUGCCGUCCUGCUGGCCACGGACGAUUGCGCCUCGCGCGCCCAGGAGAGGAGCGACAGUGUGUCGGUGCGGUCACCGGGGAACAUGCACAGAGUACUGUGAACUAUGUGUAGUAUUUCGAAUUUGGAUUUAAGCUUUCUAGGGGUCGUAGAGACACGUCUUGUGAACAUGCACAUUAUUUUGAAAAUAAAAUAAAAUAUUUAAAUUUAUUUUAAAAUAUCAAAACAUGGGAGCAUGCAGUAUUCUUGUUGUUGGACAGUUAAAUCAUAAAUACCAAUUGAAAAAGUACACAAAUAUAAUUUUUUUACCAUGAAAGUGAAAGAUGUCUUCUCACUGCAUGCAAUUUUUCUCUUUUUGGAGGUUGUAGGCACAUGUGUUGUGAACGCUCACAACUGUUUUCCAUUUCGUUAGACAUUUAAAUUUGAUUUGUGUUCUUCUUUUAAACAUGGAAGUGAGAGCAGCUCUAGCAGAGUCACCUUAUGACCUCGACUGUCAUUUUAAUAACUGCCAAUAUGGCGAUUUUAGCUCAAAAUGACACUAGUAGGGCCGCUGCCUCCCGAUGGACAUAAUUUAUAGAACUCUCCCUAUGGCGCACUAGCCACUACAGCCACCGAAUCUGAUGGAUGAUGCGGUGGGGCACGGUUUCUGAUGGCUGUCGGUGGGACGCGUUGUGUCGCAUCAGUUACAUAAAUUUACGGAACUCUUCCUUCACUUUAGUUUUUUCAUCCUUCGCCACUUCUUAGUUAAUGUCUUUUUUGAUGCCACAACCAACAAUCCCACUAGCAUAAGACCGUCGUUUCUUUGAUGAAAUGAUGGACCUCGAGCAUUUAAGGAAGCUCGUCAUCAGAAUAUGCAAGUCAAGUUUUAAUAAUGUAAAAAUCCCACUAGCAUAUGAAGAACUACCCAUCUAUCUUGGCUAGAGAAGACAAAUAGAUCGGAAAGCAUACAUAGCUACUCAAUUGUAUAUCAAAGAAACUCCAAAAGUUUGAAAUAUAUUCAAACUUUAUCCUAAAGUGGAGUUCUUGUUUACAUUAAUGGUCUCUUCCCCAUUUAUCAUCACAAAUGAAACAAAGGCCUUUAGCAUGCCUAUAAUCUCUCAACGCCAACCAUUUAUCUUCCUGUCCUAUUCCUCGAUCAGGCUCUAAAACUUGUUUCUCUUCGAUAGACAUGGUUCUAGAAGAUUUCAUAGCUGGAAGAGUGGGACUGGAAAAAGUGUUAACUCUCUUAGUAACUGAAGGUGUAGAAAACCUGUUAGCUCUGACAGCUUCAUCACCUAAUUCCUCAUGUAACAAGGCGAAGGUAAGCUGAAUCUAGAUCAGAUGGUUGCUGCAAACCAGCAAUGACUCUUACAACAGGUUUCAACCCUUCCAUGAAUCUGGUAACGUAGCGGAUAGUGUUAGGAAACUCCUCACAUGCUAUGAGUUGAUCAUACCAUUCAGAAAACCCUUCCACAUAAUCCUCCACUGUGCUAGUCUACUGAAUGUUGAACAUCUUUAGGAGCUGACUCUGGUGUUGGUUUCUGCCAAAGCGAGACUGCAACAGGCGACUGAAUUUUUCCCAGGUAGGAUUUGGUACCCGUCGCUGAACUGAGCCCAACCAACGGGCAGCCGGACCCUCAAACAUGGAUGAAGAGAAAGGAAUCCACUGAUGACGUAAUGUGCUCCAUAGUUUGAAAUAAUCUUCACAUUGGUUCUACCAAAGCUUCAGAUUGGAGCCAUCAAAUUUUGGAAGUUCAAUUCGAGGACUCAACCCAAACGAGUCAGCAGUAUUCGGUCAGACAAUUUUCCAUCAAAAUUCCUGAAUUGCCGUGGAAAUCCGGAUCAGUCUGCGUACCUCAAACCGGAUGUGGGACUUAAAUUUGAUGUCCAGACCCCUAGUGUUCAUGUUCAAAGCGGUGCCCAUCGGGGUUGACGGUGCCGCCUGCUGAUGCCUUGGGAUAGCCGAGCUUGGGAGACCCAGGCUCAGAGCGUGGGGCAUGGUCAAGUUCACCUCGCAUCUCGUCUAGUUCGACACCAAUGGAGACCUUGACGUCGUCGAUCCGCCCCGAUAGCUGAUCCAAUUUGGCGUCCAACGUAGUGAUGGCCUGGAUGGUGUGGUCGCUGCGGUCGGAGAGGCUCUUGGUCAACGCCUAGUCUAAAUCACCCCGCAGUAGCUCAUAGAUCGCCUUCGUCUCCAACUAGAUCUGAUCCAUGGACUCCUCUCGACGAUGAUCGGCGAAUCUUGUGCUGUGGGUAUGGGUGGCACCUCUAGGGCUACAAGGCUCUGAUAUCAAAUUGUAAGGAGCUCUAUAUAAAAUGUAUGGUGGCUUUGCGUCGAGUUCAUAUUACAACUUGAAUUCACUGAAAAUGGAGUUCCUCUCGCUCACGCCAUGGAUGCCUCAGCUCUAUCCAACCCAAAACAGAUUGCCGUCCUGGUCCUUCCUCUCUAUUGGUAGACAUUUUUAGUAAUUACAAGGCCAACAUGGCCCAUUCUGGGUCAGCAAGUCACGUAGGAAGCUUCUUUCGUCGCUUGGGCCAGCUGUAUCUUCAAACGUGGCUUCCCGCAUCUCAGGUGCCUGUAGGUCGCUGACAAUCUAACUUAAAAGAAAUUCCUAGCUAGGUCUUAUGUGGAUGACCAGGGAAGCUCAGGUACCAUGGCCGAUUUGGUUCUCAUGAAAAAUACAUUCUUAUAAACUUCAUCUGUACUGUUUUCUAUAUUGCCAAACUGAUUUCAAUAUCACAGUGCGAAAACAGACAUGUCUAGCAAAAAACAUUUGAUAAAUACAACAAAUAGUAAUUUCCAUAAUUGUGCGCAUGCAACACACGUCAAUUCGAUAGUAUCUUGACGCGCAAUGAUUUUUUUUACAAAUCUAAUAUAUAUUCUCUCCAGUCUAUAUUACUUGUCACUGAUUUAGUAUUGACUUGUAAUCAACAACAAUUAAUAUUGAUCGAAGGAGUACAAUUAAUUUUGUUUUCAAAAAUUAAUUGCAAUUAAUGAGAUUUCCACGAUCUCUACUUGCAAUUAAUUUGUUUCCAAGAUUUCUAAGAUUAGUUGAGAUAUAUAAAUUGAUGGUACAAGAUACUACAUAAAUAUUCCACCAUCAAUUUCUCGAAAUAUGUGUCAACAAAAAAUGAAAAAGAUGAUCUUGCGAAUUAAGUUCUUCAUUUAUGCCCACAUGGCUCUGAAAUGAAAAAAAAUACUAAGUUGAUCUCUCUCCUCACGAUCUCCCUGUAUAUCUAGUACGAGCCAUGUGCUCGAUGGGAAGCAAUCGUAUAAGUGAAACAUACAUAUAUAUUUUUCAUCAACAACCAUAGAAUAUCACGUCAGUGCCUUGUAGUGUUGUAUUAGAGGAGAGGAUGGACAAGCAGACGAUCCGGAUCGCUGCGCUGGCCCUGCUAUCUGUACACCUCCUAUGCUCCGCCACCAUAGCGCAAUGUAAGCAGUGCAUCCGCAAACAACAUUGCUAUUUCACUCUUUAAUUUAUAUAUCUUCAAAAAAUUUUGGUUGUUUGUUGUUUGUUAUCAAUCCAGAGAGAAAAGUGAUAUGCAUGCUAUUCGACAGGCCGAACCGUCGCGGCCGGCGUGGACAACGACGAUAUCCAUGAAAUGAGCUUGGGUUGCCAGAAAAAAAUGCUCCUACGCCUAUCAUUGUUGCAUCUGUUGUAUUAAUACCGACUGGUGCUACACAAGUUCCGAUAAGUGCGAUAGAAACUGCCCGGAUUUCACCGCGGCCACGGUGACCCCCGAAACCGUGCUGACCAGGUCUGCAGUACGCACGGAUGACUUGAUGCGAGGCCUCGUCCCAAAUGAGUUCGGCAAUUGUCGUGUGUAGUAUAGCAUCGUUGCGGUGACCCCUGCCCAUUUACCCGCCUAGCUGAGUUUAUUUACUUGUCCCUUAAGGCAUUUGUAAUGCGUGAUGUGUGGACAAAUAAGUUUGCAAUACCCUAAAU
rnacentral:lncRNA from 1 species